rnacentral:rRNA from 1 species
CCUACGGGGGGCAGCAGUGGGGAAUAUUGCACAAUGGGGGAAACCCUGAUGCAGCGACGCCGCGUGAGUGAAGAAGUAAUUCGGUAUGUAAAGCUCUAUCAGCAGGGAAGAAAAUGACGGUACCUGAGUAAGAAGCCCCGGCUAACUCCGUGCCAGCAGCCGCGGUAAUACGUAGGGGGCAAGCGUUAUCCGGAUUUACUGGGUGUAAGGGGAGCGUAGACGGCAGUGCAAGUCUGGAGUGAAAGGCCGGGGCUUAACCCCGGGACUGCUUUGGAAACUGUGCGGCUAGAGUGCAGGAGAGGUAAGUGGAAUUCCUAGUGUAGCGGUGAAAUGCGUAGAUAUUAGGAGGAACACCAGUGGCGAAGGCGGCUUACUGGACUGUAACUGACGUUGAGGCUCGAAAGCGUGGGGAGCAAACAGGAUUAGAUACCCCAGUAGUC